GAGAAAGUCUUUGAGUCAGCCCCAGAGGCGGUGCCAGAUUCCUCUUGGAAUCUAGCAAAGAUGGCUUGAAUCCCAGCUUCCCCACUGGCAAGAGACCAGUGUAUAUCUCUCUAUUCGUCUGUACUCUUUACUCAUCUAUAAAAAGUUAUAGGAAUGGUAAUAGCUAACAUUUAUUGGGCACAUAAUCUGCCAAGCUCCUUUGAUGCAUUAUCUCACUUAAACCUCAAAAGAACACUAGAAGGCAGUUAUUAUUAUCUUCACAUGAUAGAUGAGGACAUUUGAACUCUAAAUGGUUAAACUGUUUACCAGCACCUCUCUAGCUAAACAAAUGCUGGAGUAGGAUUCAAACCUGAGCAGUUUCAGUCCCGAGUCUGGCCUUAAUCACUGUGCUGCGAUCCUAUAUUGUGAAAAUUAAAUGCAGAUAAGGACAGGGAAGCACCUAGCGCAGUCCUGGCACACAGGAAGCAAAAAUGUCAGCGCCUUCUCCACCCUCCCUCACAGCCCUCAGGUCAGCGUUAGUCCCUCUCAGUUUAGCACCCAGCACCUUCUCCGCGGGUGGGGGGGGGGGGCCGGCCCUUGGCAGCUGGGACUACAACUCCCAGGAUGCAGCAGGCAGAGAAGCUGGCCAAUCAGGAUGCACAUUCCUGCUUUUCACAGUCGGCUACUCCCCACCUGCUGUCAGAGCUUUGGUGACGGUUGGCCAGGUGGGUCCUCACGGGUUGGUUUGUGGGCCACCCAAGGGCACUGGGUUUUAAAUAAUCCUAAUCCGGUUUUGGGGCAAGACGAAGGCUGUUGAAAUUUCCAGGUUGCCUCAGGCUCCAUCGUCAGCCUCCAAAUGGGCGGGCGCCCAAGGGCCCGGGGCUCCUCACAGGCAUAGGUGGGUUCCAGAAGGGGCCGAUGUUUGGGUGUGUCCAGGCGGGGCCGGUGGUCGUCUCAAGGCCGGGGUCACGCGGAGUGCGUUGUGCAUUGUCCUGAUCGGGUUUGGGAGCAGGAGGGCUGUGGAAACUUCGAGGCUAUCUUCAGUCACCACGUGGCGGUUGGGCGGGCCAGCGGCACCCUGGGGCUCUUGACUGGUGUAGGUUGGGAGGAGGAGGGGUUGGCCUUUAGAACAAAAGCUGCGGGGAUGAUCCUCUCCUCGGGAUGAGGGCCUGAACCGUGCCUCCCGGCCUCCCGGCUGGAGGUCAGUGCCUUAGCUGCGUUAGCGCCUUCUGUGUCCAGCAUCGCGGCCUUGGAGGAUUCCACUAUCCCCUCGGUCCCCAGAGCGUGCUCACCACUUCUCACCUCGGGCAUGCCCUCUGACCGGCCUCUUCCUUCUCUCUGAGCCAUGGCCUACCCGAGAUCUCCACGGAAGGCUUGACACACCACUGACCUUCUCCAGUCCAGUGGGGUCCAGCCCCAGCUCUGCCUUCCAACCCCACCCACCCAAGGGCACGCUCAAGGGCGCUGGAUAACCAGACCCGGAGUGGGAGGGUCGAUUUUCUUGGACAUUUCUCUAUCCACUUAGUUUCCCCUUCCCUCUUGGUUUUUUAAUAUUUUUUUUUACAACCAUUCCUCAUUUUUAAAGUUCUUUAAUUACACCUUCUCUACCCUCUUUAUUUUAUCAGCUUUUCUUUUCCCCCCUCAAAUCUUUUUAUUUGCUAUGCCCAACCAAGUAAGAUAGCUACCCUUCCCUUUUUGGCUUCUAGGGUAUUAUAGGUGGACGCAAAGUAUAUUUUAUUAAUUGGAAAACGAAAUUUUUAUACCUUUGUAGUGGCUCUAAAGUGAGUGAAGUAGGAUAAAUUCCUCUACUCAGGAGAAAGCAGAGGCAAGAAAUUGACUUAACGAUGUUUAAGAAUAAUGCUACUGACCAUAAGCUAAAUGUGGAAGCCAUAAUUAAAAACAUUAACAUAAUUUCUUUGGAGUUGAAGAAGAUGAAAGGUAAGCAUGGAAUCCCUGAAUUAAAAUGUUUGCAUGCCAUAGUUAAAAACAAACAAUAGAGCCAAAUUGUGCUUCUGCUGGGAUAUAACUGAAUUUGCCUACUAAUUAGGAUUUCUCUACUUCUUAAGCAGUGUUGGCACUGUAAUAUGAAUUAGAUCUCUAAAGAUGAAUUAUGUUUGAGAAUUUUCCUGGGAGUUAGUAGACUUGAAUUCCCAUCCCUGACACUAACAAGCUUAUGAUGUUGUUUAACUAACCUCUUUAAAUUUACUUUCCUUCCUUCCCUUCAAUAAACUAUUGCACGAUGAUGUCACAUUCUGCAAAAUUCAGUGUCUCUAUCCAUUAAUCUUUACCAAGCCCCUAAGGUUCCUUCCAAAUUAAAAUUAUGUUUGUUUGAUUCUGUGAGUUAAGGGUUCUUCAUUUUAAACAGAUUCAUAGAGUAGACCUUACCGUUCAUGAUGUUUAGUCAUUCACCUCACAGACAUUCUAUUAUUUUAUCUCAGACAUGUAACAUUUCCGUGAUUUAAUAUUUCUAAGGACAAUUUAUCCCUGACCAAACAUUUCCUCUGUUGGAGAACUCCCUAUCUCACCAGUCAGCCUCUUCCUUUUUAGCUGGUUCCUCCUUAUGGACUAGCUGAAAUCUAUUCCUGUCUUCCUUUC